rnacentral:rRNA from 1 species
GACGAACGCUGGCGGCGUGCUUAACACAUGCCAGUCGAACGGAAAGGCCCUUCGGGGUACUCGAGUGGCGAACGGGUGAGUAACACGUGGGUGAUCUGCCCUGCACUUUGGGAUAAGCCUGGGAAACUGGGUCUAAUACCGAAUAGGACCACGCGCUUCAUGGUGUGUGGUGGAAAGCUUUUGCGGUGUGGGAUGGGCCCGCGGCCUAUCAGCUUGUUGGUGGGGUAAUGGCCUACCAAGGCGACGACGGGUAGCCGGCCUGAGAGGGUGACCGGCCACACUGGGACUGAGAUACGGCCCAGACUCCUACGGGAGGCAGCAGUGGGGAAUAUUGCACAAUGGGCGCAAGCCCGAUGCAGCGACGCCGCGUGAGGGAUGACGGCCUUCGGGUUGUAAACCUCUUUCAAUAGGGACGAAGCGCAAGUGACGGUACCUAUAGAAGAAGCACCGGCCAACUACGUG